UUUAGGAAUCUGCCUAGUAGUGGGGGAUAGCUCGGGGAAACUCGAAUUAAUACCGCAUACGACCUACGGGUGAAAGGGGGCGCAAGCUCUUGCUAUUAGAUGAGCCUAAAUCAGAUUAGCUAGUUGGUGGGGUAAAGGCCCACCAAGGCGACGAUCUGUAACUGGUCUGAGAGGAUGAUCAGUCACACCGGAACUGAGACACGGUCCGGACUCCUACGGGAGGCAGCAGUGGGGAAUAUUGGACAAUGGGGGCAACCCUGAUCCAGCCAUGCCGCGUGUGUGAAGAAGGCCUUUUGGUUGUAAAGCACUUUAAGCAGGGAGGAGAGGCUAAUGGUUAAUACCCAUUAGAUUAGACGUUACCUGCAGAAUAAGCACCGGCUAA
rnacentral:rRNA from 1 species